CCAAUAGCGUAUAUUAAAGUUGUUGCAGUUAAAAAGCUCGUAGUUGAACUUCGGGGUCUACCCAUUGGUCAGGCUUAAUUGUCUGUACUGGUGAGAUGGAUCUCUACCUUCUGAGGAACUUUCAUGCCAUUUAUUUGGUGUGGUUGGAAAUCAGGACUGUUACUUUGAAAAAAUUAGAGUGUUUAAAGCAGACUAUCGUCUGAAUACAUUAGCAUGGAAUAAUGAAAUAGGACGGACUGAUUCUAUUUCGUUGGUUUCUAGGAUCACCGUAAUGAUUAAUAGGGAUAGUUGGGGGCAUUAGUAUUCAAUUGUCAGAGGUGAAAUUCUUGGAUUUAUUGAAGACUAACUACUGCAAAAGCAUUUGCCAAGGAUGUUUUCAUUAAUCAAGAACGAAAGUUAGGGGAUCGAAGACGAUCAGAUACCGUCGUAGUCUUAACCAUAAACUAUGCCGACUAGGGAUCGGACGAAGUUAAUUUUAUAAUGACGCGUUCGGCACCUUACG
rnacentral:rRNA from 1 species